GCCUGGGUGGCUCAGUCGGUUGAGCAACUGACUUCGGCUCAGGUCAUGAUCUCACGGUUUGUGGGUUCAAGCCCCAUGUCAGGCU
rnacentral:tRNA from 1 species